GGAGGUCGGCCCUCCGGAGCCAGCUUGCAGGAGCGGGCUUCAAACCGCCACAAGCUGCGGCAGUCAAAUGCUGCCGUGGUGAGCGUUGUUGGAAAAGGCGGAGUUAAACUCCGUCAGGU
rfam:Environmental sequence XZS84262.y1, whole genome shotgun sequence.